GUAGAAGCCGCAGGAAUUACACCUGCUUAUACUGAACCAAUCCAGUAUAACCCUUAGAUGGGCUCCU
rnacentral:tRNA from 1 species